AUCAGGCAGCAGCAGAGCAAGGAACGGGUGACUCAGCAGAUACUGCCACUCAUCAAAGGACACACAGAGCUCCAAGGUCUUAAGAAUCUCAAUCAAUACAAAUGAUGAACUACGAUUCCAGAGGACUCAUGAUGUAAUGGGCAACUCACCUCCUGAUAGACAGCCUAGGCUUUAUUGAAAGUCUUUGAUGCUUUCCCAUGAGUCUUCCCAGUGCUCCUACGGAAGGCUCUUUCCACAGGACAUUC